rnacentral:rRNA from 1 species
UACGUAGGGGGCAAGCGUUGUCCGGAUUUAUUGGGCGUAAAGAGCGUGUAGGCGGCCAGGUAGGUCCGCUGUGAAAACUCGAGGCUCAACCUCGAGAUGUCGGCGGAAACCAUCUGGCUAGAGUCCGGAAGAGGAGAGUGGAAUUCCUGGUGUAGCGGUGAAAUGCGCAGAUAUCAGGAAGAACACCGAUGGCGAAGGCAGGUCUCUGGGCUGACACUGACGCUCAUGCACGAAAGCGUGGGGAGCAAACAGG